rnacentral:rRNA from 1 species
CGAAGAACCUUACCUACCCUUGACAUCCAGAGGAUUUUCCAGAGAUGGAUUAGUGCCUUCGGGAACUCUGAGACAGGUGCUGCAUGGCUGUCGUCAGCUCGUGUUGUGAAAUGUUGGGUUAAGUCCCGUAACGAGCGCAACCCCUAUCCUUAUUUGCCAGCGAUUCGGUCGGGAACUCUAAGGAGACUGCCGGUGACAAACCGGAGGAAGGUGGGGAUGACGUCAAGUCAUCAUGGUCCUUACGGGUAGGGCUACACACGUGCUACAAUGGGGAGUACAGAGGGAUGCGAAGCGGCGACGUGAAGCCAAUCCCAAAAAGCUCUCCUCAGUCCGGAUUGGAGUCUGCAACUCGACUCCAUGAAGUCGGAAUCGCUAGUAAUCGCGAAUCAGAAUGUCGCGGUGAAUACGUUCCCGGGCCUUGUACACACCGCCCGUCACACCAUGGGAGUGGAUUGCACCAGAAGUGGCUAGUUUAACCUUCGGGGGAACGGUUACCACGGUGUGGUUCAUGACUGGGGUGAAGUCGUAACAAGGUAAGCGUAGCGAG